UUCAAGCAUCUCAAACUCAAAACUCAAACAUAAACAUUAUAGAUAGAGAGAGAAAGAGAAAAGAGAGAAAGGAGAGAUUAUUGGGUCGUACAUUUUCUAAUCAGUUUUUCUUGCAAUGAGAAUACUGUGGAGGAACUGAAUGAAGUGAUUUGUACUAUGUAUAAAUAUGCGCCCUUAACACCUAAUUAUCGAAGGUUGAAGUCCUGUCUUUUUGACCCGAUGAUAUAUUGGUGGCCUAGUGGGCUCUGCAGCCCUAUUGCACUUUCUCCCGCAAAACUUUCCGACAAAAGCCCAGCCCAAUCAAACAUAUAUGGUAAGCCCAGCCCAAUCAAAC